rnacentral:rRNA from 1 species
UACGAAGGGGGCUAGCGUUGUUCGGAGUUACUGGGCGUAAAGGGCGCGUAGGCGGCGCACCAAGUCAGGCGUGAAAGCCCUGGCUCAACCCGGGAAUUGCGCUUGAGACUGGUGUGCUUGAGUACGGGAGAGGAUAGUGGAAUUCCCAGUGUAGAGGUGAAAUUCGUAGAUAUUGGGAAGAACACCGGUGGCGAAGGCGGCUAUCUGGGACCGUAACUGACGCUGAGGCGCGAAAGCGUGGGGAGCAAACAGGAUUAAGAAACCCG